AACGAACGCUGGCGGCAUGCCUAACACAUGCAAGUCGAACGAGACCUUCGGGUCUAGUGGCGCACGGGUACGUAACGCGUGGGAACCUGCCCUUAGGUUCGGAAUAACUCCCCGAAAGGGGUGCUAAUACCGGAUAAUGUCUUCGGACCAAAGAUUUAUCGCCUUUGGAUGGGCCCGCGUUGGAUUAGCUAGUUGGUAGGGUAAAAGCCUACCAAGGCGACGAUCCAUAGCUGGUCUGAGAGGAUGAUCAGCCACACUGGGACUGAGACACGGCCCAGACUCCUACGGGAGGCAGCAGUGGGGAAUAUUGGAUAAUGGGCGAAAGCCUGAUCCAGCAAUGCCGCGUGAGUGAUGAAGGCCUUAGGGUUGUAAAGCUCUUUUACCCGGGAUGAUAAUGACAGUACCGGGAGAAUAAGCUCCGGCUAACUCCGUG
rnacentral:rRNA from 1 species